UACGGAGGGGGCUAGCGUUGUUCGGAAUUACUGGGCGUAAAGCGCACGUAGGCGGCUUUGUAAGUUAGAGGUGAAAGCCCGGGGCUCAACUCCGGAACUGCCUUUAAGACUGCAUCGCUAGAAUUGUGGAGAGGUGAGUGGAAUUCCGAGUGUAGAGGUGAAAUUCGUAGAUAUUCGGAAGAACACCAGUGGCGAAGGCGGCUCUCUGGCUCGGUACUGACGCUGAGGUGCGAAAGCGUGGGGAGCAAACAGG
rnacentral:rRNA from 1 species